GUUGUUCGGAAUUACUGGGCGUAAAGCGCACGUAGGCGGCUUUGUAAGUUAGAGGUGAAAGCCCAGGGCUUAACCCUGGAAUUGCCUUUAAGACUGCAUCGCUAGAAUUGUGGAGAGGUAAGUGGAAUUCCGAGUGUAGAGGUGAAAUUCGUAGAUAUUCGGAAGAACACCAGUGGCGAAGGCGACUUACUGGACACAUAUUGACGCUGAGGUGCGAAGCGUGGGGAGCAAACAGG
rnacentral:rRNA from 1 species